CCUGAUGAUCCCACAGUAUAUGUUCAUGUUUCCCCCCUCUCUGGGGAAGCUCAACGUUCUCUUGAUUUUAAGUAUUCCUUACAUAGUAAUGUAAUAAUGGAUCCAAAACUCCUAUCUCCCUCCCAGACCCCUCUUCUAUCUCCACUAAGUGUCUAAGGAUACUUCGUGUUAGCCUGACUAAACCUGAGCUCUUGAUAACCACUGCUUUUUCUUCUUCACCAAAGCACUGUCUUCCUCCCGAUCCCCACAAGUCUCAGCCAAGAGAAAACCUUCAGUCUUCCCUCAUCUGUUCUCUCUACCCACACUACUCUCAUCUGCCAGCUCUUCCCUUAACUUCCACCCACAUGGCUUCUACUCUGAAUCUUGAGACCCUUCUAAAUUGACAUUGAUUUCUCUACACUUUUCUUAGCACAUCAAUAAACAGGCACUUUCUUCUUAAGGUGCACACUACCAUAAGCUACUUCACUCAAAACCCACUAAUGACUUCUGAAAAUAUUCUGAGCGAUACUAUGGCUCCAAGACCCCUGCAUUUCCUACUCCAAGGAUGUUUGACUUGCAUCUGCUACGCUUUCCUUCUCACCACACUGUCUUCUUACUGUCUCCACCUCUAAAUGGAGAACCUUGGCGUUCUCUGAGCCUAAAACUCUCUUCUGGUAUUCUGUUAUUUAUUUCUCAUAAGGUACCUCCUCCAUUAAUUCCCCGACUCCCAACAGCUCCCACCUGCUGUCAGAUUGAUGCUCUUAGACCAGCAUCUCAUAGGUUUCUAGCAUACGACAGAGCUGGCUUAAUUGUUUGAUGUUGUUACUUGGUCCCCAAAAGACUAAAAAGGUACAGAAAUUUCUUUUUCGAUUCUGCCUACUGCUGUAUUUCAACAGCAAUGUCUGGUUCAUAGAAGUUUUAUAAUUAUAAGAAGCUGAGGUGAACUUGAACUAGGAAUGCAUGUUAUCCUGAGUCAAUCUAAUUUUACAAAACAAUUAGGUACGUUAAAGAGUAGUGAACUAAUUCAAAGGAAUUUUAUCUUUUUUUUUUUUUAUAAGGGAGAAGCUGGCACAAAAGAAAAGAUUGCUCUGUGUAGCUCUACCUGUCCUGGAACCAAUUCUGCAAACCAAGCACUAGCUUCAAAUGCAGAUAUCUGCAUGUCUCUGCCCUCCCAAGACCUGGGAUUAAAGCUGUAUGAACACAUGCAAAGAGAACUGGCCUUACACUGGAUGGAGACAUGUGCCACUUGUUUGUCACUGAAGCAGUUGAAAAACGAACUAUUUCCAGGGUAAAACUGAAAAGAUUACAUGCCGACUGCCAGUUGAACCAGCUAUCUUUUCCCCAAUGGAUGGUUUUAGCUCCUCUGUCAAAGAUCAAGUGACCAUAGAGGUGUGGAGAUAUUUCUGGGUCUUCUAUUCUAUUCCAUCGAUCUACCAGCCUGUCUGUGUACCACUACCAUACAGUUUUUAUCACUAUUGCUCGGUAAUAUAGCUUAAGAUCAGGGAUAGUGAAUCCCCCAGAAGUUCUUUUAUUGUUGAGAAUAGUUUUCACUAUCCUAGAUUUUUUAUUUAUUCCAAAUUAAUUUGCAAAUUGCUCAAAUUCUAUGAAGAACUGAGUUGGAAUUUUGAUAGGGAUUAUACUAAAUCUGUAGAUUGCUUUUGGCAAGAUGGCCAUUUUUAGUAUGUUAAUCCUGCCAAUCCAUGAGCAUGGGUGAUCUUUCCAUCUUCUGAGGUCUUAGUAGAUUUCUUUCUUCAGAGACUUGAAGUUCUUUCACUUGUUUGGGUAGAGUCACACAAAGGUAUUUUAUAUUAUUUGUGACUAUUGUUAAGGGUGUUGUUUCCCCAAUUUCUUUCUCUGCCUGUUUAUCCUUUGAGAAAAGGAAGGCUACUGAUUUGUCUGAGUUAAUUUUAUAUCCAGUCACUUUGCCGAAGUUGUUUAUCAGUCUUAGGGGUUCUCUGGUGGAACUUUUGGGGUCACUUAAGUAUACUAUCAUAUCAUCUACAAACAGUGAUAUUCUGACUUCUUCCUUUCCAAUUUGUAUCCCCCUUUGACCUCCUUUUGUUGUCCAACUGCUCGGGCUAGGACUUCGAGUACUAUAUUGAAUAAGUAGGGAGAGAGUGGGCAGCCUUGUCUAGUCCCUGAUUUUAGUGGGAUUGCUUCAAGUUUCUCUCCAUUUAGUUUGAUGUUGGCUACUGGUGGCUGUUUACUGCUUUUACUAUGUUUAGGUAUGGGCCUUGAAUUCCUGAUCUUUCUAGGACUUUUAUCAUGAAUUGAAUUGAAUUUUGUCAAAUGCUUUCUCAGCAUCUUAGGAGAUGGAAUGCAAAUUGAUCCAUUCUUAUCUCCUUGUACAAAGCUUAAGUCCAAGUGGAUCAAGGACCUCCACAUAAAACCAGAUACACUGAAACUACUAGAAGAGAAAGUGGGGAAGAGUCUCAAACACAUGGGCAUUGAGGAAAAUUUCCUGAACAGAAUACCAAUGGCUUAUGCUCUAAGAUCAACAAUCGACAACUGGGAUCUCAUAAAAUUGCAAAGCUUCUGUAAGGCAAAGGACACUGUCAGUAAGUCAAAACAGCAACCAACAGAUUGGAAAAAGAUCUUUACCAAUCCUACAAUUAGACUCCAGAGUAACCCUAUUAAAAAUGGGGAACAGAGGUAAACAAAGAAUUCUCAACUGAGUAAUAUUGAAUGGCCAAGAAGUACCUAAAGAAAUGUUCAACAUCCUUAGAAAUGCAAAUCAAAACAACCCUGAGAUUCCACCUCAUGCCAGUCAGAAUGGUUAAGAUCAAAAACUCAGGUAACAGCAGAUGCUGGCUAGGUUGUAGAGAAAGAAGAACACUCCUCCAUUGUUGGUGGGAUUGCAAGUUGGUACAACCACUCUGGAAAUCAGUCUGAAGGUUCCUUGGAAGACUGGACAUAGUAAUACCUGAGAACUCAACUAUAACACUCCUGGGCAUAUACCCAAAAAAUGUUCCAACAUAUAACAAGGCCAUAUGCUCCACUAUGUUCAUAGCAGACUUAUUUAUAGUAUCCAGAAGCUGGAAAGAACCCAGAUGUCCUUCAACAGAGGAAUGGAUACAGAAAAUUUUGUACAUUUAUACAAUGGAGCACUAUUCAGCUAUUAAAAACAAUGACUUCAUGAAAUUCAUAGGCAAAUGGAUGGAACUAGAAAAUAUCAUCCUGAGUGAGGUAACCCAGUCACAAAAGAACACACAUGGUAAAAGCUCGGAAUACCCAAGAUACAAUUCACAGACCACAUGAAGCUCAAGAAGAAGGAAGACCAAAGUGUGGAUGCUUCAGACCUUCUUAGAAGGGGGAACAAAAUAUUCA